rnacentral:rRNA from 1 species
UACGUAGGGUGCAAGCGUUGUCCGGAAUUAUUGGGCGUAAAGAGCUCGUAGGCGGUUUGUCGCGUCUGCUGUGAAAACGCGAGGCUCAACCUCGCGCCUGCAGUGGGUACGGGCAGACUAGAGUGUGGUAGGGGAGACUGGAAUUCCUGGUGUAGCGGUGGAAUGCGCAGAUAUCAGGAGGAACACCGAUGGCGAAGGCAGAUCUCUGGGCCGUAACUGACGCUGGAGGAGCGAAAAGCAUGGGGGAGCGAAACAGG